rnacentral:lncRNA from 1 species
CCUCAGCCAUGUGCAUUUAAUUGGAAGUUCACUUUGUAGGGCAGCUUCACCCCUUAUAAGGUGGCAAGGUAGUUAUGUUUUGAUGACCGAAGCCUUGAUUUUGUGUGCUACUGCAAAAAUAUGUUCCGGAUAUUGAUUAUGUAAAACCCACUCUCUGAACGUAAAACCAAGGUAAUAUGUAUUGACGUUCAACAGCACUUCGAUUCUUAAUUCUAUUUGUUAAUCUUUUUAAUUGGUUAUUUUUUGUUUGAAUAAAUUACUUUUAUUAUAGGAUUAGUUGUGUUUGUCUUCGAUAAGUGUUUAUUAACUAUUUGAUAAAUGCGAGGCACACCUCACAAAAUCAUACCGACUUUCUAUUGCCUAUUCUUGAGUUUACAUGGUAUUAGAACUAUCAACGCUCAUACGAGCUAGACCUAUUUCUUCACCCCCAUUACCUCUCCCAUAGUCUUUCUAAAUGGCUUCUACCAAUAUUUUCGUUUUCAAUAUCGACACCACUAGUAGCCACACUAUAGUUAUACAAUUUAACUCCGCUUUUCAACUACCCGUAAAAUUAAUUGAUAAUAUAAAAUUCUCGACGUAAAAAUUAUAAUUUUUAGUGUUGGUGCAUGAUUAUGAUCUCUUUGACCAUCUCAAUGGUUCUAAAGUAGCCCCUUGGUUGGCCUAACUUUUUAGGAACUAUAUCUCCACAACUGUUUUCAGUCACCAAAGCACCCCAGCCAUACAACAUGACACCAUUAUCUUGGGCAUCCCUAUAUUAAUGUUAUAAAUAUAUCCUCUCUGACUUAUUCAGCCAAGGAAAAAUUGCAUUUCUAUAAUUCUUGCUCAAUCAAUAAAGCUCAUCACUUAACUUUUUUAAGUAAUUAUUAGUUUGUUUAUAGAGUCUUUACAAUCUUAUUCUUAAUAGAGAAUUAUAUUAUUAUAUUUUUUGUUGACUAAUUUUAAGAAUACGUUUGGUUUUAUACUCUUAACACCCAAAAUGACGUAAAAGAUUUUUAAUGGAAAAACAUUAUAAUACAAAAAUAUUUUCUUUUUCCACUGAUGGUGAAAAAUACAAAAGCCUUGAUUUGAAUCUUGUCUCUCAAGACAUGAAGCACUUUGUAAUACCUUUCUAUACACCUCAAAGAGUAGCUUUUGCUCAACGUGGUCAUUGACAUAUAGUGAAAAUAGCUAGAACUCUGUUACAUGAAGCCUUCCUCAUGGUCUUUUGCCUGUCAACAAAAAUCUUAAUUACAGGUCAUUAAUCAUUCAGACUUAAAAAUUUAUCGAUAAAAUUAAAGGAUUUAAAUAAAAAUACAAAUUUUAAAAAAUGGGCCUAUGUAAAAUUUAAUGCUCGUUUUUCGUAUGGGCAGAACUUUGGGUAAGAUUUUUUUUCUGAGCUCGACCUGUAUAUAUUAUGUUAUAAAAAAUAUUAUAUUGAUUAUAUAUGUUAAAUAAUAAUUAUAUAUUUAUAUUUAUAUUAAAUCACUAACUCAAUAACAGUUAAACUCUUUACCUAAAACCUAAAAAACAUUUACUCAACUAAAUAACUCAACCCAAAAUAUAAAAUUUUAAAAAUUAUAUUUAAUACAAUAAAAUAUUUAUUAUAUUUUUUUUGUUUUUUAAUAUAAUAAAAUAUUUAUUAUAUUUAAGGUAGUGUUUUUUAAUAUAAAUAUUUUUAAUAUCUUAGAAAAUUUUUAUUUUAGCCUUUUUUAAAUUUAUUUAGUGUAUUAUAUUUUUAAAAAAAAAUCCUUUUUAAAUAAAAGUUAAUCUAAAAAAAUUAAAUAUGGAAGGUCCAGACUGGGCUCGAGUUUACCUUUCUCAAAUUAGGUCAGAUUUGGAUAAAAAAAUAAACACAUAUUUUAGGUCAAAUUAAACUCGAACUUAAAAAAUUAAUCUAGGUACCUUACAUAGGCCCGACCCGACUCAUAACCACGGCUAAAGAAGUUUGCUAUCCUUGACUUUAGACAUAUGCUGAUAAGUAAACUAGAUCUCAUGUCUAAACCAUGUGUCUUUGUGGGUUUCUCUACCAUUCGUCACUGCCAUCAAUGCUAUGAUCAAAUUUCCUCGAAAAGCAUAUUUGUCCAAUGGUGUAUAUUUCUUUUGAAACAGUCUUCCCUUUUCAAAAUAUAUUUGUCCAUAUGAAACAAAACUUUAAAAUCUUAACAUGGGAUAUGCCCACGUUUAAUUCUUCCUCAAAUACAAAUAUUACCCCUUCAAUACCAACUCUUGAAUUACCCUUGCCUAGUUUAGUUUUAGUUCAAGCAUCUCAAGUCCCAUCUCCAUAAAAUCAACAACAAACACCCUUAGAGACAUUUAUUCUGUGAACCUAGUAAAGGUGAGGACAUUCAUUAUGACUCUCAAAUUUGCCAAGGGUGGAGGCUAUUUUGAUGUCAUGAUCAAGGGCAACUCCAUGACUGUGAUCAACAAGUUCCAUUUGAAAAGCACAAACCUAUAUUUUUUUGGUGUGCACCUUUUGGAGGCUGAUAUAUAGCAUUAUUAGUACAUUUACUUCUAUUUCUUUUUCAUAUGUUAAUCGUAUUGCUAAUUCUGUUGCACAUCAUUUGGCAAGUUGGGCACGUAGUUGUAUGAAUGCUUUGCACUUCGAUUUUAAUUAUUUGAAUGUCAUUCAUUAUUUGGUAAUGUAUGAUGCUCUUUUUACCCUAAAACCAAUAACAGACACCCCCUCCUCAUUCACAGGUCACUUAACGAUGCCACCUCACCUAAGCAACGCUCCAAUGAAUCUUGCAUAGGUACAUCCUCUUCACCUACUACAUUCUCUCUUGAUAAUCAUGCUACUUGGAACCAAAACCUCUCACCCAUCAGAAUCCAACCCAUCCAUGCUUCACAACAUCAAAAACUCAAUCAGUUCCUUAUUAUUUAUUCGUCGAAUGCCAUGACAGAAUCAAUCCACUACCAAUGUCCCUAAUAAUACCUCUCAAAACCCAACUAGCCAAUCCAUUAAAUCGAAUGAUAACCUAUUCCCAAAAUAACAUUCACAAGACAUUUUUUUUAUCUCAUGGCUCUUCUUCAUCCAAACAACACUCCUCAAGCUUUUGCCCAAGCCAACAAACACUUAAGUGACAAAAUGCAAUGAAAGUUGAGUUUGAUGUAUUGCAACAGAACUAAACUUGGGGAUUAGUUUCUAAUGGCCCUAUGAAGAAUAUUGUGCGGUAAAAAUGAUUGUUUAGAAAAAAGAAAAAAAAUAGAUGAACUCAUCAAUUGAUCUAAGGCUCGUCUUGUUGCAAAAGGGUUCACUCAGUGACCUAGAGUGGAUUUUCAUGCAAUAUUCAAUUCAGUAGUUUAUUCAACACAACUGGGUUUUACGUAAACUUAAUGCCAAUAGUGCCUUCUUGCAAGACAGCUAGAAAAAAAGGUAUAUAUGUCUUAACCUCACAUUUAUCAUAUUUGCAAGUUAUGCAAAGCUAUUUAUGACCGAAACAUACGCCACUGGCUUAACUCGCAACUAUCUACAAUCGUGAUUUUGUGAAAUCAAAUCUGACCUAUCUCUAUUAAUAUUCAUUCAACCUCAAGCAAUAGUCUACCUACUUGUCUAUGUUGACACAUCAUCAUUGUAACAACCCGGUUUAGACCCUAGUCGGAAUAGUAGUUUCAAGAUCAUAAAUCUAAGUCAAAAAAUAUUUUAAUAUUAUUUUCCGUGCUUAUAAUAUGUGAAUUAUUAUGUGUGAAAGUUUCGUACAAAAAUUUGAUUGUUUGUGUGCCUAAUUUGAAAAAAUGACCUAAUCGCGUAAAGUGCAAAAGCGACUUGCUAUUUGUUAAAGUGCCUAAUUGUUAUGGUUUAGUAAAUGGGAGGUCCUUAUGUUGUAAUUAGACCAUUGAUAAGGUUACCAUCCAUUAAGUGGUUUUUAUAUGGUUUAAUAAAAGGUAAAAUUAGUAUUUGAUAAUUAAUAUGUAAUAUAAUAAAAUAAAACAUGCUAAUGGAUGAUUCAUUCAUCCUUGUUGUCGAAAUUACAAAAGAAAAAAAAAAGAAAGAAAAGAGUUCCUAUGGUUCGGCUACGAAAAUUUGUGAUUAAGGUAUGGUUUUUGAUCUAUUUUUGAUAAUUUCUACGUUUUUGUGAUCGUUGUUUUGUGUUCUAUUAAGCUCAUGUCUUAAUUUCAAAAUUUGAUGAAGAUUUUGAGUUGAGCCAUUGAUGAAAUUGUGAGUUUUGUGAUGUUAAUUGAUGAAAAAUGAAAGAAAAAUGUUAGAUUAAAAUGUUUUGUAUUUGAAUUUUUUAUGAAUUUGAGUAAUUUGGGCUAAAUUGUGAAAAUGGGAUUUUGAAGGACUAAAAUUUAAAAUAAAUGAAAUAUAUGGGCUUUAUAUGAAUUACAUGAAUAUUCUUCCAAGUAUGUGUAUAAGGAAAUUUUGUGUAUUUUGUGAUUUUGUUAAUUAGGGACUAAAAUGUCAAAAUGUGAAAAAAUGAGGGCUAAUUUGUAAAAUACCCUAAAUAUGUGCAUAUGGAUUGAAUUGAAUGAUUUGUUGAAUAAAAGAUUUAAAUUUGAAUGUGUAUAGAUCAAGAACCAAAGAAAACGGAAUUAGAUCGGGGAAAGUCAAAAGUAGUUGAAUAAACAUUUGUUUUCGUUCAUUCCCGUACAAAGUAAGUCGAUAUACAAAUAAAUGUGUUUGAAUUGAAUUAUUAUUGCUUAUAUGCUAUUGAAUAAUGAUUAAUGGUUAUUUGAGUUGAAUAUGAGAAAUCCGAGAAAGUUCUGAUAAUGUGACGACGUCCAAAAAGUCCCGUACGAACCAUAAGAAUAGUUAGGAUACAUGUAUCAUGAUAUAGGAUCCCGAUAUGUGAUUUCGUGUAAGACCACAUCUAGGACGUUGGCAUCGAUUUGAAAUUAAAGUGUAAGACCAUGUCUGGGACAUUGGUAUCGUAUUAAGACCAUGUCUGGGACAUUGGUAUCGUAUUUGAUUUUGUGUAAGACCCUAUCUGGGACAAUGGCAUCGAUAUUUGAUUACAUGUAAGACCACGUCUAGGACGUUGGCAUUGUACGAGUUUUUCGAGUUAUCAACGGUUCAACGGCCACUCCGAGAAACAACUGACUAUGUGAAUGUGUAUCCAAUGCAGGUACGUUUGAAAUGUAUAUCAUGUUUGAAAAUGAAAAGUAAGUAUAUGUACAUUUGUGGACAUAUGAUAUAUGUAAGUGAAUUAUGAUCAAAUAAGUUAUAUGAGACAUAUGGUUAUGUGAUUGUGUUUUUCCAUGAGCUACAUGAAUGAAUUGGUUUAGAAAUGUAUUAUGUGAUAAGUUUAUUUGUAUAUGGUUUACUAAGCUUUUGAAAGCUUAAUUUGUGUGUGCUUACAAUUGUUUUGUAGAUAUCGAAGCUACCGGGAGCUUGAGGAUCAUCGAGGAUCAUCACCACACUAUCGAACUAUAUUUUGGUACCUUUUGAAAAUGUGAAUAUUGAAGUACGACAUGUAUAGGCUAAAAGUAUUUGAAUAUGAUUUUUGAAGUGUAUAUCAUGCCAUGUGAUAUGACUAGAUUAAAGUUGCUAUUUGGUAUGGUUUUUGGUAUAUAAGUUGUGAUAAAAAAUGGUAUUUGUUGAUGUGCAUAAAUGGCCUAUUGAGAAACAGUCAAUUUGGUAAGCUAGUUAUGUGAAUUAGUUAUGGAAAUGGUAUGAUUUUGAUAUGAGAAUAAAUGUGAAAAAUUGGGAUAAUGACAUGUAUGAAUGAAUGAGUUGGUAUGUGAUUUUGGUAUGUUUGGUUUGGAUAAUAAGGAUGAAAUUGGUUAGUGAUUAUAUGACAUGAAUGAUGUAUGUUUUGGGAUUGAAAUUGGUUCAAAUUAUGGUGAAAUUGUGCUUUGAUUUUGGACUUGUAGGGAUGACCAUUAAGGGUGGAAAAUUGGAUUUGCAAAUAGGGUAUUUUGUCCACACGGGCAGAGACACAGGCGUGUGUCUCAGCCGUGUGACAUACGGUCAUGUUACACGGCCGUGUGUCCCCUGAGGUAGUCCUACAAUUUAAAGUCAGUCUCAAGCACAGCCUAGGCACACGAGCGUGUGGUUAGUCGUAUGACCCAAGUCAGAUUCGACCACGUCCAAGGCACACGAGCAUGUCUCUAGACAUGUGGAUAAGUCAGUAUGUAUGCCCUAUUUUGCCAUGGCCUAGACGUGUGUCUAAUGCAUGUGAGGCACACGAUCUGUUCACACGGGCGUGUGACCUCUGUAACUUUGAAAAAUUUGUUAAGUUUUGGAAAAAUUUUGUAUGUGUUCGGUUUAGUCCCAACCCUUCCUAAAGCAUGUUUAAGGUCUCAUUGACCUAAGAAAGGGACUUUAUGAUGAUGUUUGACUAUGAUGCUAUGAUGUGUAGAUUAUGUAUGUGAAGUGAUCAUAAAAUGUUCUGAUACAUCCGGUAAUACCUCUUAACCCUAGUCCAGCAAUGGAUACGGGUUAGGGUUGUUACAAUCAUCACAGGCUAUAAGCCGUCUUUCAUAAACAAUGUUAUGUCUUCACUUUCUACAAGGUUUUUAAUUAAAGACCUUAGUUCAUUGACUUACUUUUUUGAGUGUUGAGGUUCUCAGUCAACCUAAUAGAUUCGUUUUCUCUCAAACAAACUAUAUCAAGGAGCUACUAACUGAAGAAAACAUGAAAAAUUGCUAUCUUUCCAAGAUGCCCAUGAGCAAAACCAAGAUUUUUUACACUAUUGAUAGUGCACUACCAAUCAAUCAAUGCAACCUAUUUUCUUCAUGUAAUAGGUAAACUUCAAUACCUAUCCUUUACAUGACUUGACAUUAGUUUCUCUAUCAAAAAACUUUCUGAAUAUAUGCAUGUGUCAUUGGUUGCACAUGGGAGCCUGCAACCAUGGCACACUUGUGCAAUCCAUCAAAUUCCAAUGAGGUCAUUUGGCCUAAUCGGAUUGGCUUGUUGCUUGGAGAGAUUGAAGGCCCAUCUACAAAGCAUGACACAUAUAGAAACAUAAUCUUCGAAGAUAUGUAAUCUUAGAAGAUAUGAUUUUGUAGUUUUAGAGAUUUAAUUUGUAGAUAUCUUUUAAUCGUAGCCGUUGAUGUACUUUGAUUUGUAUCGUUGAAAUUGAAAAGGCUCAAUUAUAAAUAGAUGUCUCUCCCCUCAUUGUAAAUCACUAGAGUUUUGAGCAAUAAGAAUUCUUGAG